rnacentral:rRNA from 1 species
AUGUGCUUCCACAGAUAUGUGCAGUCGUUGCUUCAACGCUGCAGAGCCAGCGGGAUUUGCCGCGCUGGGAGAGCCGGCUGUCCGGCGAGCGCCAGCUGGAUUUGUGUCAAUUUUGUGGCUGCAUGCAGUUUCCACAGCAUCUCUUUCCACCGGAGCGCCCGCAGCCCGAUCUCCUCCCCUCUCCUCCGUUUUCCACAGCAUCUCUUUCCACCGGAGCGCCCGCAGCCCGAUCCCCUCCCCUCUCCUCCGUGUGUUGACAGGAUGGUGGGCAAGGGUCCAGAGCGCCCCGAGCCUCCUGCGAGCGCUACUGGGAGGGGUGGUUCCGUUAUUCCAGCCCAGCCCCUCCGGAGAGCGCUGCUAGACAGUAUGCAGACAGCUGCGGAGGGCGCUUCUUCUUCGGCUGGGAGAGGUCGGGGGAGGACGAAGAAGGCUGCUAGAGGUGGAUGUGGCAGCGGGAGAUGUAGGAAGGCUGCUACGCCUUCCUCGCCGCCACCCUCAGCUGAUUCACCCGACCACGUGGACCCGUCUUGGACUCCGGUCCAUGACCCUCCGGUCGCCGAUCCUUUGCCCCACCACACUCGGGUCGCCGAUCCUUCGCCCCACGUGAGUCCAGUCCCAGAGUCUUCGUCCCAGAAGACUCCGGGCCCGGAGUCUUCAUCCCAGAAGACUCCGAUCCCGGAGUCUUCUUCCCACGAGACUCCGGAGGCUAGUGGCGAGAUGGUCGCCGGUGUCUUGUGCGAGACGGUGGCCGACAUGGUGUUCCAUCGGUUUUGGACCUUCUACAGGGUUUCAGAGGGAGAGCAGGAGGCCGCUUCUAUGGUUGUCGAAACCGAGUGCAAGCGCCUACUUCAGAACUUACGGCACGAGGCUCGGGUGCAGGCCGUUCGAGACUACUACGCCUCGAAGGGUAUUAGGAGGGCCAAGAAGAAGUGUCGCGACAAGUUUCUGAGUAAGGAGAAGUACAUGCAGGUGCCCUCGAGAUGGUGUGUGGAUAAGAUGGACUGUUGGGAGGCGUUGGUGGAUGCGUGGUGCUCUCCCGAAUGGCUAGUCGAACACCAAAGGGCCAAGGAUAAGCGCGACCAAAUAGAAGGUGUGCCACACCAUCAAGGGAGCUCCAACCUGUUUGAGUACGAGGAUAACUGGGUAUGUGGUUUGGUACAUGAUUCAUGCAAUUUCAUUCUUCAUGCUAGCAUUUAUCCCUUUCAAAAUGACUUAAUAUGCUUAGUUAGUUAA